rnacentral:rRNA from 1 species
AGAGUUUGAUCCUGGCUCAGGACGAACGCUGGCGGCGCGCCUAACACAUGCAAGUCGAACGGAGCUAUUUUGGAAGAACCCUUCGGGGUGACUCUGGCUUAGCUUAGUGGCGGACGGGUGAGUAACACGUGAGCAACCUGCCUCUCAGAGGGGGAUAACGUUUGGAAACGAACGCUAAUACCGCAUAACAUAUCGAGGCCGCAUGGCUUUGGUAUCAAAGGAGCAAUCCGCUGAGAGAUGGGCUCGCGUCCGAUUAGAUAGUUGGCGGGAUAACAGCCCACCAAGUCGACGAUCGGUAGCCGGACUGAGAGGUUGAUCGGCCACAUUGGGACUGAGACACGGCCCAGACUCCUACGGGAGGCAGCAGUGGGGGAUAUUGCACAAUGGGCGAAAGCCUGAUGCAGCGACGCCGCGUGAGGGAAGACGGUCUUCGGAUUGUAAACCUCUGUCUUCAGGGACGAAAGGAAUGACGGUACCUGAGGAGGAAGCCACGGCUAACUACGUGCCAGCAGCCGCGGUAAUACGUAGGUGGCAAGCGUUGUCCGGAAUUACUGGGUGUAAAGGGAGCGUAGGCGGGGAUGCAAGUUGAAUGUUUAAACUAUCGGCUCAACUGAUAGUCGCGUUCAAAACUGCAACUCUUGAGUGAAGUAGAGGUAGGCGGAAUUCCUAGUGUAGCGGUGAAAUGCGUAGAUAUUAGGAGGAACACCAGUGGCGAAGGCGGCCUACUGGGCUUUUACUGACGCUGAGGCUCGAAAGCAUGGGGAGCAAACAGGAUUAGAUACCCUGGUAGUCCAUGCCGUAAACGAUGAUUACUAGGUGUGGGGGGACUGACCCCUUCCGUGCCGGAGUUAACACAAUAAGUAAUCCACCUGGGGAGUACGACCGCAAGGUUGAAACUCAAAGGAAUUGACGGGGGCCCGCAC